rnacentral:rRNA from 1 species
CCUACGGGUGGCUGCAGUGAGGAAUAUUGGUCAAUGGGCGAGAGCCUGAACCAGCCAAGUCGCGUGAAGGAUGACGGCACUACGGGUUGUAAACUUCUUUUGUCAGGGAGCAAGGGGGACCACGCGUGGGCUUAGCGAGAGGACCUGAAGAAAAAGAAUCGGCUAACGACGGGCCAGCAGCCGCGGUAAUACGGUGGAUGCGAGCGUUAUCCGGAUUUAUGGGGUUGAAAGGGUGCGUAGGCGGAAUAUCAAGUCAGAGGGAACAAUUCGGGGCUCAACCCCGUCGUGCCGUUGAAACUGCUGUUCUUGAGUGGGCGAGACGUAUGCGGACUGCGUUGUGUAGCGG